rnacentral:rRNA from 1 species
ACGGGAGGCAGUAGUGGGGAAUAUUGGGCAAUGGGCGCAAGCCUGACCCAGCAACGCCGCGUGAAGGAAGAAGGCUUUCGGGUUGUAAACUUCUUUUAUCAGGGACGAAGGAAAUGACGGUACCUGAAGAAUAAGCCACGGCUAACUACGUGCCAGCAGCCGCGGUAAUACGUAGGUGGCAAGCGUUGUCCGGAUUUACUGGGUGUAAAGGGCGCGUAGGCGGGAUGACAAGUCAGGUGUGAAAUCUAUGGGCUUAACCCAUAAACUGCACUUGAAACUGCCAUUCUUGAGUGUCGGAGAGGUAGAUGGAAUUCCUAGUGUAGCGGUGAAAUGCGUAGAUAUUAGGAGGAACACCAGUGGCGAAGGCGAUCUACUGGACGAUAACUGACGCUGAGGCGCGAAAGCGUGGGGGGCAAACAGGAUUAGAUACCCUGGUA